UUGGAGGGCAAGUCUGGUGCCAGCAGCCGCGGUAAUUCCAGCUCCAAUAGCGUAUAUUAAAGUUGUUGCAGUUAAAAAGCUCGUAGUUGAACUUCGGGGUCUACCCAUUGGUCAGGCUUAAUUGUCUGCACUGGUGAGAUGGAUCUCUACCUUCUGAGGAACUUUCAUGCCAUUUAUUUGGUGUGAUAGGAAAUCAGGGCUGUUACUUUGAAAAAAUUAGAGUGUUUAAAGCAGACUAUCGUCUGAAUACGUUAGCAUGGAAUAAUGAAAUAGGACGGACUGAUUCUAUUUCGUUGGUUUCUAGGAUCACCGUAAUGAUUAAUAGGGAUAGUUGGGGGCAUUAGUAUUCAAUUGUCAGAGGUGAAAUUCUUGGAUUUAUUGAAGACUAACUACUGCGAAAGCAUUUGCCAAGGAUGUUUUCAUUAAUCAAGAACGAAAGUUAGGGGAUCGAAGACGAUCAGAUACCGUCGUAGUCUUAACCAUAAACUAUGCCGACUAGGGAUCGGACGAAGUUAUUAAAAAUGACGCGUUCGGCGCCUUACGGGAAAC
rnacentral:rRNA from 1 species